rnacentral:misc_RNA from 1 species
CACUUCCAACCCAAUCCCGACCAAAUUAUAUAAAACAAACCCGCUUUUUUCUAUGUAAAUUCUACAAAAAAUACCAGAAGGUCGAAAUUUGAGCAAUUACGUCGAAAGUAUAGAGAAAACAAUCACCAACAAAGAUACAACAGAAUCCCAUAUGACCGAAUUACCAAGAUUUGCCGGGAAAAUUUUCCAAUAGGUUUCCAGCAAUCCAAACAGAAUUAUUACCGGAAAUAAUUAGACAAGGACCGGAUCUCGGAUUUCGGUUCACCGUAUAAUUUGCCG